GUGCAGCAGUCGAGAAAACUUCACACUGUGCGAAAGCACGAUGAGGGAAUCCCAAGUGCUUGCACGUAAGUGUAAGCUGUUUCUCUGUUUAAAACGCAGAGAGAGUAAGGGCUGGGUAAGACGGGUGCCAGCCGCCGCGGUAAUACCUGCAGCUCAAGUGGUGACCGUUAUUAUUGGGCCUAAAACGUCCGUAGCCGGUUUAAUAAAUGCCUGGGUAAAUCGUGUAGCUUAACUAUACGAAUUCCGGGUAGACUGUUAAACUCGAGACCGGGAGAAGUUAGAGGUACUCCUGGGGUAGAGGUGAAAUUCUGUAAUCCUAGGGGGACCACCAGUGGCGAAGGCGUCUAACUAGAACGGGUCUGACGGUGAGGGACGAAGCCCUGGGGCGCAAACGGGAUUAGAUACCCCUGUAGU
rnacentral:rRNA from 1 species